GCCUCGGGAAGCAGAACCUGCUCUCUUCCUAGUUCCUCCGAUCGUCCUCUCCUCUGUGUUGGUUGGAGCACGAAACAAACACAGAUGGAUGAUGUGGUUGACUAGCCCAGUUGUACGUCCAUCCCAUCGCCCAUGCAUCCAUGGCUCCAUCUCCUUUGACUUGUUAUUGGAGAGCAGUGCUCCAUUCCAUGAAGCCAGAAAGCGUUCCUUCUUGGACAACCAACCCCCUACAACAGUGUAUAUUCACAGGACAUUCCUCCUUUCAGUUUCAGACACUUGGGCAAGCAAGCAAGCAAGCAACCCCAGUAUAUGACACUGUAUAUUCACAGUACGUACGAAAAUCAACUAGGCAUGCAGUUAUUCUGAAUUGAAAGCGGCCGGCGCUGCACUAGGAUGCUGAUCAAAUGGCAUUUCCCUGCAUCCAAAUGGGAGAACAAUUUCGGCAUCCUCUACUCGAUCGUCUCGAGAAAAAUAUCGAGCAGACCGGCAGGCCUCGUCCGCGUCCAAUAUCGCGGGUAUGGAUCCGGUGCUCUCCCUCGGCAGCAGCUUUAUGAAAUCAAUCCAUACAUCACAAGCGCUUUGAAUAAAGCCCGUGCCGCCUGAUUAUUCCUUGUGCUCAUGCAUGAUUGGAUUGAUAUCCACUUUGUUGAGGGCUAGAUGCGGAUACCAAGGUGCAUGGUACGUAUAGCUAGCCUCCCAUUCCAUCUGGUGGCAUUCUGCGUGCGUGCGUUGGAUGGAUGUAUAGACAUGUAUAUUUGCCUCGCUUAUCUGAUCGCCCGG
rnacentral:lncRNA from 1 species